GAUAACGUAAUAUAUUGUGCAGAUACCAAAUCCCUUAGAUCAUAACGUAGACAUAUUAUGGAUAUUGAAUCAUGAACAUAUUCAUACAUAUCAUGAUAUAAACAAUAUGAUACAUGAUACAUAUAAUAUAUUAUAAUAUAAUUGUAUUUGAUCUAAAGCAAAUCCUCAUAGUGAUUAGUGACUAAUCAAUAUUCUCCAAUUUCCAACAACGGUCAGCAACUAAUUUAUUGUAAGAAUGAUAAGAUUAAAUCCUACAAGGAUAGAGCUAAGGAUUGAAGAUCUAAGCGAAUUUGCAGAUAUCAAAAAUCAUUAUGAAGCCAUUAAAAAAACCAAAGAAGAAAAACAAAAAAAUCUAUACGGUCCUCUUCUAAAUAGCAACACCUCAAAAACCAAACAAGAUGCUGUACAAGAAAGAAUAGGAUUCAUCCCAAGGCCCAGACAUUCAUCACAAUGAAAAAAAGUACUCAACUAUCUGAUUUUUUAUUCUAAGUAUUUUUAUUUAUUACUUUUAUGCAUUAAAUGCUAAAAUUAUUAAAAUAUUAAAUGAUUUUAACUAUUAA